UCCGGUUUAGCACCGGCAGUCUUUCCAGAGUCCCCGGCAUUACCCGCUGGCAACUGAAAACGGGGGUUGCGCUCGUUGCGGGACUUAACCCAACAUCUCACGACACGAGCUGACGACAGCCAUGCAGCACCUGUAACCGAACUCCGAAGAGGGGCCAAUGUUUCCAUCGGCUUUCUCGGCUAUGUCAAGCCUAGGUAAGGUUCUUCGCGUUGCGUCGAAUUAAACCACAUGCUCCACCGCUUGUGCGGGCCCCCGUCAAUUCCUUUGAGUUUCAGCCUUGCGGCCGUACUCCCCAGGCGGGGCACUUAAUGCGUUAGCGCCGGCCCUCGGGGGGUCGCUCCCCCAAGCGCCUAGUGCCCAUCGUUUACGGCGUGGACUAC
rnacentral:misc_RNA from 1 species